AGCCAAUCAGAAAGCAGGAUUUUUUUAAAUAAAUAAUAAAUGCUAAUAUGGCUCGAAAAUUCACCUGUAUUUGGUGUUGACAUAGACGAAGAUGUCAUGGCCUGUUCAUUUGUUGUUUUGGUGUUGAGAGAUUGCUUCUUCCCCUUAUCAACAUUGCUUUCCCCAGUUUGUGAGUAGUGAAACAUACUGUAGCAUAUUGUUUUGGCUUUUGGGAACUAACUGCAGAAGUAAUGCACAACUAAUGCACAACUAAUGACAUUUGACUAAAAGGAAACAAUAUGGUAUGUUACAAUAUGGCUGAAGUGGAGAACAGGCCAUAGAAUGUAACAUAUUUUCAGUAUAGUAAUAUUACUUUUUUAAACACUGUAGAUGAACAAAAACACAAAAUAAUGAAAUCAGUAAAACUCCACCACCAUUGAAUUCCACCUGGCGAAUAAUGCCAGACUGUACUCUACAUCACUAUGAAGAUGUUACUGGUUGAGAAGAAUAUUUUACCUGUCUUAUUUGUAAAUAAUGAGAAACUUGCAUGACCUUUUAAUUUAUACAUAUGCUGUAUGAAAAUUCUUAAUGGUUGGUCAACUUAUAAUGCAUUAAAUGGUGUAUACUAUUGGAAAAGUAAAUAUUGGAAAAUGACAGACACUGUAUGAAUAAACAAGAUUUCCAUCUGUCAGUGACCAAUUGAAUAUUUCAGAUCAGGAGCAAAAGCUGCAGUGUAUGGAACCAGAAUGAAUCUUAUGCACUUUUAAUGGUGUGCAUAUAGUAUAUCAGGACGCUUUUCAAUUAAUAACAGAAGAUGUAUUUAUGACAAUUUUGGACAUAUGAACUAACAUCUGCUAUCCUGGAACGAAUGGUGAAUGUACUGUAUCCCUACUGUAUCCCCAAGAAUAAAUGACUUUGUUACUCACGUUUCAUGUAAUACCUUCUUAAUAUCAAAACAUUGAACUUUUGAG
rnacentral:lncRNA from 1 species